UUUUAAUGUUGUCAAAGUGAUUUAACAUAACACAAAACAAUUUCUGAAAAGAGGAGGCCUCCACUUGGCAGAACUGGUAACGCACCAACAUCUAGUCCUCAGGUGUCAUUUGAAGAUGGAGAUGGCUAAAACUCGGGACCAUCGAGCAUACCAGGAAUGCUGUCUACACUUGGAACAGUCUCCAGAGUAGCAGAUCCUGGCUGUACCAGAACAGAAAACAGAGCUUGUGUUCACUGGAUUUGGUCCCAGUAGGAAGGACAUUUUCUGGACUGGGAUAAGGAUGUGGUAUAAAGGAUAGUGAGAGGGAUGACAGUUUCACCUUGCCUUCACAAGAUAAGACACAUGAGGCACUGAGGAAGGUGGCAGUCUCAUUUUACCAUUUGGGUUUGAUAAAUUGAGAGAUAGCUGUCUGGCCUCUUUCCAGAAUUUAAAACCAACUGUAUGAUGAUGGGAACAGACAGUUAACACCCUUUGUAUUUAAUUACUACAAUUAUAUAAUGAUGUAUGCAGCACAGUAUCUUGAGACUUCAUUGUGUGAGGUCUUUUCUGAUGGAAGUCAAAGUCAGAGUAGUGAUGAUUUGUGAUCCUGAGGCCGAUUAUCUCCCUUAGACUGAUGAACAGUUAGACUUUUAGGUAGACAAUGUAAUUUGUGGAAUGGUGUUGUGUCUGUGAUGCCUGUGUGAAUAAAUAUGCAAUAUACAUUAAGAAGGAUAAUUUCUAAAGAUUUUCCUGGAAUCUUCUCUUUUUCAGAUUGUUUUAUAUUUUCCCUUGGGAUAUUGUGUAUUUGUAAUUUUUACAGUUUUUGUUCUUUUAUGUAAUUAACAUUUUUGUAUUUUUUCAUGGAAAGUUAUUUCAGAAUUUGUUCUGGAUCUACUUGAAAUACAAGGUAUUUGAAGAUUUUGAAAUAUCAGUUUUUCUGUAGGCUUCUUUAGAAGUUUUUAGAUUGAAUAUUGUAGAAAUCUGUGUCUCCUAUGGACUGAGUUAGGAAGAGAUCCACAUGCUUUGAGGAAUUCAUAGGGAGACAGAUGUUGUCUUGGUGUCACCUUCAACUGUGAAUUAAUUAACUUUGGUAUAAUGUUUAUGUAAUCCUGGUAAAUAACUAGCUGCAGUAGAGAACGCCUCUUUAGCUUGAUCUGUUUUAUUGGUGCCUAUGUACAUGAUGUAGUAACUCAAUAGUACUUAGCCAUGUCCCAUACACUUCCUUGUAACUCCUGGAUACUUGAGGAAAAGUUCCGUCCUGGAAGGGAAGUAUGUAACCCUGGUAAAUACUAGAGGCAAUACAUUUCUUGGCUGGAGAGAACUUUACCUUAAUUGAUUGAGCAUAUUAGUAAGCCAGAGGUUCCUUGUUUAAAUAAUGACCUUUGUUACAUAUAAUUGACAUGAUUUUUACUGGACAAAAUAAGUGAAGGGUCAUAAAUUGUUACCAUUAUAUAUUCUGAGAGGAAUUUAUAUGUUACCCAUAUUGGCUCCCUUACUUUUUUGAAUGUACAGCCAAUGUGUUGGUAAGGGUGUAUGCAUGUGUAUCAUGAGUUUAUAUUGUACUGCUCUAGUGCACUGUUAGUGUGAAUAAAUGACUGAUAAAUACUCAGGAAAUUCUGAGGUUUGAUUUUUGUAUAUUUUAACGAAAAUAUUGUAACGUUUUGGAGAUCAUACUCCCUACUAAGCCUCUGAUAUCAAUUUCUGGACUUGUCUCUGUGACUCUGAUGAUGUAACACUUUGAUUUACCUGGUAUU